rnacentral:snRNA from 1 species
UCGCCUUUGGCAGUACAUAUACUAAAAUUGGAACGAUACAGAGAAGAUUAGCAUGGCCCCUGCACAAGGAUGACACGCAAAAUCGAGAAAUGUUCCACAUUUUU